GGGUUAAGUCCCGCAACGAGCGCAACCCUUGUCGUUAAUUGCCAUCAUUUAGUUGGGCACUUUAACGAGACUGCCGGUGACAAACCGGAGGGAGGUGGGGAUGACGUCAAGUCCUCAUGGCCCUUAUGGGUAGGGCUUCACACGUCAUACAAUGGUCGGUACAGAGGGUUGCCAAGCCGCGAGGUGGAGCCAAUCCCAGAAAGCCGAUCGUAGUCCGGAUUGGAGGCUGCAACUCGCCUCCAUGAAGUCGGAAUCGCUAGUAAUCGCGGAUCAGCAUGUCGCGGUGAAUACGUUCCCGGGUCUUGUACACACCGCCCGUCACACCAUGGGAGCGGGUUCCGCCAGAAGUAGGUAGCCUAACCGCAAGGAGGGCGCUUACCACGGCGGGGUUCGUGACUGGGGUGAAGUCGUAACAAGGUAGCCGUAGGGGAACCUGCGGCUGGAUCACCUCCUUU
rnacentral:rRNA from 1 species